rnacentral:rRNA from 1 species
GACGAACGCUGGCGGCGUGCCUAAUACAUGCAAGUAGAACGCUGAAGAGAGGAGCUUGCUCUUCUUGGAUGAGUUGCGAACGGGUGAGUAACGCGUAGGUAACCUGCCUUGUAGCGGGGGAUAACUAUUGGAAACGAUAGCUAAUACCGCAUAACAAUGGAUGACACAUGUCAUUUAUUUGAAAGGGGCAAUUGCUCCACUACAAGAUGGACCUGCGUUGUAUUAGCUAGUAGGUGAGGUAACGGCUCACCUAGGCGACGAUACAUAGCCGACCUGAGAGGGUGAUCGGCCACACUGGGACUGAGACACGGCCCAGACUCCUACGGGAGGCAGCAGUAGGGAAUCUUCGGCAAUGGGGGCAACCCUGACCGAGCAACGCCGCGUGAGUGAAGAAGGUUUUCGGGUCGUAAAGCUCUGUUGUAAGUCAAGAACGAGUGUGAGAGUGGAAAGUUCACACUGUGACGGUAGCUUACCAGAAAGGGACGGCUAACUACGUGCCAGCAGCCGCGGUAAUACGUAGGUCCCGAGCGUUGUCCGGAUUUAUUGGGCGUAAAGCGAGCGCAGGCGGUUUGAUAAGUCUGAAGUUAAAGGCUGUGGCUCAACCAUAGUUCGCUUUGGAAACUGUCAAACUUGAGUGCAGAAGGGGAGAGUGGAAUUCCAUGUGUAGCGGUGAAAUGCGUAGAUAUAUGGAGGAACACCGGUGGCGAAAGCGGCUCUCUGGUCUGUAACUGACGCUGAGGCUCGAAAGCGUGGGGAGCGAACAGGAUUAGAUACCCUGGUAGUCCACGCCGUAAACGAUGAGUGCUAGGUGUUGGAUCCUUUCCGGGAUUCAGUGCCGCAGCUAACGCAUUAAGCACUCCGCCUGGGGAGUACGACCGCAAGGUUGAAACUCAAAGGAAUUGACGGGGGCCCGCACAAGCGGUGGAGCAUGUGGUUUAAUUCGAAGCAACGCGAAGAACCUUACCAGGUCUUGACAUCCCGAUGCUAUUUCUAGAGAUAGAAAGUUACUUCGGUACAUCGGUGACAGGUGGUGCAUGGUUGUCGUCAGCUCGUGUCGUGAGAUGUUGGGUUAAGUCCCGCAACGAGCGCAACCCCUAUUGCUAGUUGCCAUCAUUCAGUUGGGCACUCUAGCGAGACUGCCGGUAAUAAACCGGAGGAAGGUGGGGAUGACGUCAAAUCAUCAUGCCCCUUAUGACCUGGGCUACACACGUGCUACAAUGGUUGGUACAACGAGUUGCGAGUCGGUGACGGCAAGCUAAUCUCUUAAAGCCAAUCUCAGUUCGGAUUGUAGGCUGCAACUCGCCUACAUGAAGUCGGAAUCGCUAGUAAUCGCGGAUCAGCACGCCGCGGUGAAUACGUUCCCGGGCCUUGUACACACCGCCCGUCACACCACGAGAGUUUGUAACACCCGAAGUCGGUGAGGUAACCUUUUGGAGCCAGCCGCCUAA